rnacentral:rRNA from 1 species
UGCCAGCCGCCGCGGUAAUACAGAGGGUGCAAACGUUGUUCGGAAUCACUGGGCAUAAAGCGCACGUAGGCGGCCCGUUAAGUGUGGUGUGAAAUCCCUCGGCUCAACCGGGGAACUGCAUCUGAUACUGGCGCACUCGAGGAUGGUAGGGGUGAGCGGAACUCCAGGUGGAGCGGUGAAAUGCGUAGAUAUCUGGAGGAACACCGGUGGCGAAGGCGACCUCCUGGACUGAUAUUGACGCUGAGGUGCGAAAGCGUGGGGAGCAAACAGGAUUAGAUA